UCCCUUCGAUAGCUCAGUUGGUAGAGCGGAGGACUGUAGAGGUCUCUGAGAGUCAUCCUUAGGUCGCUGGUUCAAAUCCCGGCAAGGAAA